rnacentral:lncRNA from 1 species
CCCUCACAAUGGCUAUGACUGUCAGUUGCCUGGAGUUAUAUUCAAGGAUUCUCUGAGGCUAAUGGAGUUAUAGUGAUAGUUCCUGGCUUGGGGAC